rnacentral:rRNA from 1 species
UCAGACGAUGCGUCAUGCAUAUCAAUAAGCGGAGGAAAAGAAACUAACAAGGAUUCCCCUAGUAACGGCGAGUGAAGCGGGAAGAGCUCAAAUUUGAAAUCUUAAAGGGUUUCCCUUUACGAAUUGUAGUUUAAAGAAGUGUUUUCUGUUGAGGUUUUGGUAAAAGUUCUUUGGAAUAGGACAUCAUAGAGGGUGAGAAUCCCGUAUUUGACCUUUACUUUCAACUUUGUGAUACACUUUCAAAGAGUCGGAUUGUUUGGGAAUGCAGUCCAAAAUGGGUGGUAAAUUUCAUCUAAAGCUAAAUAUUGGCGAGAGACCGAUAGCGAACAAGUACCGUGAGGGAAAGAUGAAAAGAACUUUGAAAAGAGAGUUAAACAGUACGUGAAAUUGUCAAAAGGGAAGCGUUUGACACCAGUGUUGUUUUUCUGAAAAUCAAUUAAAGAACUGUUUAUGCUAAGCUGUUUAGACUUUAUCAGCUAUCUGUUUAGUUUUGAGCUUUUCUUUAAUGCACUUUUCAGUUAACAAGUCAACAUCAAUUUCUUUUGCUGUAAAAAAGCUUGAGGAAGGUGGCUUGAGAUUCGUCUUAAGUGUUUAUAGCCUCUUGCCUAUGCAGUCGGAGAGAUUGAGGUCUGCAGCGUAGAUCCUUCGGGGCUAAAUGCAUUUGUGCUAAGUUAUAGCACUUUAUAGACAACUUGUUGACUAUGAUUUGUCUUGUAGCUUACUCGCUUAUGUUAUUUUACCUACGCUUAGGAUGUUGACGAUCAGCUGAGCGCG